rnacentral:rRNA from 1 species
AAUGACUCUCGGCAACGGAUAUCUCGGCUCUCGCAUCGAUGAAGAACGUAGCGAAAUGCGAUACUUGGUGUGAAUUGCAGAAUCCCGUGAACCAUCGAGUCUUUGAACGCAAGUUGCGCCCCAAGCCGUUAGGCCGAGGGCACGCUUGCCUG